rnacentral:rRNA from 1 species
AUGCUUAUCUAUGUUGAUGAUAUUAUUGUCACCAGCUCCUCCGUUAGGGCAGUUGAUGCUCUUCUUCAUGAUCUGCGCAUGGAUUUUGCUCUCAAGGAUUUGGGUAAUCUUCUUUUUUUUCUUGGCAUCGAGGUGAAGCAUGUGGCUCAUGGAAUCAUUCUGUCCCAAGAAAAAUAUGUACAAGAUAUCCUUGAGCGAGUAGGCAUGAAAGGUUGCAAACCCUCUCCAACCCCGUUGUCCACUUCAGAGAAGUUGUCUCUUUAUGAUGGAGAGGCACUUGGAGGCGAGGACUCCACCAGGUACAGAAGUGUGGUAGGAGCUUUGCAAUAUUUGACUUUAACCAGGCCAGAUAUAUGUUUUUCAGUCAACAAAGUCUGCCAGUUUCUCCAUGCACCCACUAGCACUCAUUGGACAGCAGUAAAAAGAAUUUUUCGGUACCUUCAGGCAACCAAGAGUCAUGGUCUCAAACUUGCCAAGUCACACUGUACACUUGUUAGUGCAUUUUCAGAUGCAGACUGGGCAUAUUGUCUUGAUGAUCGGCAGUCUACUGGAGGUUUUGCAGUAUUCUUUGGUGGCAAUCUGGUUUCUUGGAGUGCACGUAAGCAAGCCACUGUGUCCAGGUCAAGCACAGAAGCUGAGUACAGGCCUUAG